AUUGAACGCUGGCGGCAGGCUUAACACAUGCAAGUCGAGCGGAGUGAUGGUGCUUGCACUAUCACUUAGCGGCGGACGGGUGAGUAAUGCUUAGGAAUCUGCCUACUAGUGGGGGACAACAUCUCGAAAGGAAUGCUAAUACCGCAUACGCCCUACGGGGGAAAGCAGGGGAUCUUCGGACCUUGCGCUAAUAGAUGAGCCUAAGUCGGAUUAGCUAGUUGGUGGGGUAAAGGCCUACCAAGGCGACGAUCUGUAGCGGGUCUGAGAGGAUGAUCCGCCACACUGGGACUGAGACACGGCCCAGACUCCUACGGGAGGCAGCAGUGGGGAAUAUUGGACAAUGGGCGGAAGCCUGAUCCAGCCAUGCCGCGUGUGUGAAGAAGGCCUUUUGGUUGUAAAGCACUUUAAGCGAGGAGGAGGCUACUUAGAUUAAUACUCUGGGAUAGUGGACGUUACUCGCAGAAUAAGCACCGGCUAACUCUGUGCCAGCAGCCGCCGUAACAC
rnacentral:rRNA from 1 species